GUGGGGAAUAUUGGACAAUGGGCGAAAGCCUGAUCCAGCAAUGCCGCGUGAGUGAAGAAGGACUUCGGGUUGUAAAGCUCUUUUACCCGGGAAGAUAAUGACUGUACCGGGAGAAUAAGCCCCGGCUAACUCCGUGCCAGCAGCCGCGGUAAUACGGAGGGGGCUAGCGUUGUUCGGAAUUACUGGGCGUAAAGCGCACGUAGGCGGUCUUUUAAGUCAGUGGUGAAAGCCCGGGGCUCAACUCCGGAAGUGCCUUUGAAACUGGAAGACUUGAACACGGGAGAGGUGAGUGGAAUUCCGAGUGUAGAGGUGAAAUUCGUAGAUAUUCGGAGGAACACUUGUGGCGAAGGCGGCUCACUGGACCGUUGUUGACGAUUAGGUGCGAAAGCGUGGGGAGCAAACAGGAUUAGAAACCCGGGUAGUCC
rnacentral:rRNA from 1 species